UUAUAAGAGAGUUUGAUCCUGGCUCAGGAUGAACGCUGGCGGCGUGCUUAACACAUGCAAGUCGAACGGAGUCAUCA
rnacentral:rRNA from 1 species